GACGAAGGGCUCAGGUGUUAUUCAUGUUGAUUGGGUGUAAAGGGUACGUAGACGGUUCUUAGUUCUUUGGCAAAAAAAGCGGAGUGUUCCUACGCGAUCUGCCUUUGAAGAAGAGGACUUGAGUUGGGGAAAGGUUUGGGCAAUUUUGUGUGUAGGGGUUAAAUCCUAGUAUAUACGAACGAACGUCAGAGGCGAAGGCUCCUUUCUUGUUCUAACUGACGUUAAGGUACGGAGGCUCGGGGUGCAAACAGG
rnacentral:rRNA from 1 species